rnacentral:rRNA from 1 species
GAUGAACGCUGGCGGCGUGCCUAAUACAUGCAAGUCGAGCGAACGGACGAGAAGCUUGCUUCUCUGAUGUUAGCGGCGGACGGGUGAGUAACACGUGGAUAACCUACCUAUAAGACUGGGAUAACUUCGGGAAACCGGAGCUAAUACCGGAUAAUAUUUUGAACCGCAUGGUUCAAAAGUGAAAGACGGUCUUGCUGUCACUUAUAGAUGGAUCCGCGCUGCAUUAGCUAGUUGGUAAGGUAACGGCUUACCAAGGCAACGAUGCAUAGCCGACCUGAGAGGGUGAUCGGCCACACUGGAACUGAGACACGGUCCAGACUCCUACGGGAGGCAGCAGUAGGGAAUCUUCCGCAAUGGGCGAAAGCCUGACGGAGCAACGCCGCGUGAGUGAUGAAGGUCCUCGGAUCGUAAAACUCUGUUAUUAGGGAAGAACAUAUGUGUAAGUAACUGUGCACAUCUUGACGGUACCUAAUCAGAAAGCCACGGCUAACUACGU